AUCGGUCAAUGGGGGAAACCCUGAACCAGCCAAGUCGCGUGAGGGAAGACGGUCCUACGGAUUGUAAACCUCUUUUGCCGGGGAGCAANNGGGUCCUUGCGAGGGCCCAAUGAGAGUACCCGGAGAGAAAGCAUCGGCUAACUCCGUGCCAGCAGCCGCGGUAAUACGGAGGAUGCGAGCGUUAUCCGGAUUUAUUGGGUUUAAAGGGUGCGUAGGCGGGCUGUUAAGUCAGCGGUCAAAUGUCGGGGCUCAACCCCGGCCUGCCGUUGAAACUGGCGGCCUCGAGUGGGCGAGAAGUAUGCGGAAUGCGUGGUGUAGCGGUGAAAUGCAUAGAUAUCACGCAGAACUCCGAUUGCGAAGGCAGCAUACCGGCGCCCUACUGACGCUGAGGCACGAAAGCGUGGGUAUCGAACAGG
rnacentral:rRNA from 1 species